rnacentral:rRNA from 1 species
GUGGGGAAUCUUAGACAAUGGGCGCAAGCCUGAUCUAGCCAUGCCGCGUGAGCGAUGAAGGCCUUAGGGUUGUAAAGCUCUUUCGUGGGGGAAGAUAAUGACUGUACCCCAAGAAGAAGCCCCGGCUAACUCCGUGCCAGCAGCCGCGGUAAUACGGAGGGGGCUAGCGUUGUUCGGAAUUACUGGGCGUAAAGCGCACGUAGGCGGACCAGAAAGUCAGAGGUGAAAGCACGGGGCUCAACCCCGGAACUGCCUUUGAAACUCCUGGUCUUGAGGUCGAGAGAGGUGGGUGGAAUUCCGAGUGUAGAGGUGAAAUUCGUAGAUAUUCGGAGGAACACCAGUGGCGAAGGCGGCCCACUGGCUCGAUACUGACGCUGAGGUGCGAAAGCGUGGGGAGCAAACAGGAUUAGAAACCCCUGUAGUCC